UGAGUGCGAGCUGCUACGGCAGCGAAGUUGGUGACGUCAAGCUUCCAAGAAAAGCCCUACACCCGUUAAGGCAUCAUGGCCUGUACCCGAAACCGACACAGGUGGGGUGGUAGAGAAUACCGAGGGGCGCGAGGUAACUCUCUCUAAGGAACUCGGCAAAAUGGCCCCGUAACUUCGGGAGAAGGGGUGCCAGCGAGAGCUGGUCGCAGUGAAGAGGCCCAGGCGACUGUUUACCAAAAACACAGGUCUCCGCUAAGUCGCAAGACGAUGUAUGGGGGCUGACGCCUGCCCAGUGCCGGAAGGUUAAGGAAGCUGGUCAGCGCAAGCGAAGCUAGCGACUGAAGCCCCGGUGAACGGCGGCCGUAACAAUAACGGUCCUAAGGUAGCGAAAUUCCUUGUCGGGUAAGUUCCGACCCGCACGAAAGGCGUAACGAUCUGGGCGCUGUCUCGGAGAGAGGCUCGGCGAAAUAGAAUUGUCUGUGAAGAUGCGGACUACGUGCACCCGGACAGAAAGACCCUAUGAAGCUUUACUGUAGCUUGGUAUUGUGCUCGGGCUCGGAAUGCGCAGUAUAGGUGGGAGGCUUGGAUCCAUUGCUUGCGGGUGAUGGUGAGCCACUGGUGAGAUACCACUCUUUCCGAGCUAGAGUUCUAACCCUCGCCCGUUAUCCGGGGAGGGGACAGUAUCAGGUGGGCAGUUUGACUGGGGCGGUCGCCUCCUAAAAGGUAACGGAGGCGUGCAAAGGUUCCCUCAGGCUGGUUGGAAAUCAGCCGACGAGUGCAAAGGCAGAAGGGAGCUUGACUGUGAGACCUACAAGUCGAACAGGGACGAAAGUCGGCCUUAGUGAUCCGACGGUUCUGCGUGGAAGGGCCGUCGCUCAACGGAUAAAAGUUACUCUAGGAUAACAGGCUGAUCUCCCCCAAGAGUUCACAUCGACGGGGAGGUUUGGCACCUCGAUGUCGGCUCAUCGCAACCUGGGGCUGAAGUCGGUCCCAAGGGUUGGGCUGUUCGCCCAUUAAAGCGGUACGCGAGCUGGGUUCAGAACGUCGUGAGACAGUUCGGUCCAUAUCCGGUGCACGCGCAGGAAUAUUGAGAGGAUUUCUCCCUAGUACGAGAGGACCGGGAGGAACGCACCUCUGGUGUGCCAGUUAUCGUGCCAACGGUAAACGCUGGGUAGCCAUGUGCGGAGAGGAUAACCGCUGAAAGCAUCUAAGUGGGAAGCCCACCUCAAGAUGAGUAUUCCCAUGGCAAAAGCCAGUAAGGUCACGGGAAGAUUACCCGUUGAUAGGCUCUACGUGGAAGCGCAGCAAUGCGUGAAGCGGA
rnacentral:rRNA from 1 species